rnacentral:rRNA from 2 species
GGGGAAUAUUGCACAAUGGGGGGAACCCUGAUGCAGCGACGCCGCGUGAAGGAAGAAGUAUCUCGGUAUGUAAACUUCUAUCAGCAGGGAAGAUAAUGACGGUACCUAACAAGAAAGCACCGGCUAACUACGUGCCAGCAGCCGCGGUAAAACGUAGGGUGCAAGCGUUGUCCGGAAUUACUGGGUGUAAAGGGAGCGCAGGCGGACCGGCAAGUUGGAAGUGAAAACUAUGGGCUCAACCCAUAAAUUGCUUUCAAAACUGCUGGCCUUGAGUAGUGCAGAGGUAGGUGGAAUUCCCGGUGUAGCGGUGGAAUGCGUAGAUAUCGGGAGGAACACCAGUGGCGAAGGCGACCUACUGGGCACCAACUGACGCUGAGGCUCGAAAGCAUGGGUAGCAAACAGGAUUAGAUACCCUGGUAGUCCAUGCCGUAAACGAUGAUUACUAGGUGUUGGAGGAUUGACCCCUUCAGUGCCGCAGUUAACACAAUAAGUAAUCCACCUGGGGAGUACGACCGCAAGGUUGAAACUCAAAGGAAUUGACGGGGGCCCGCACAAGCAGUGGAGUAUGUGGUUUAAUUCGAAGCAACGCGAAGAACCUUACCAGGUCUUGACAUCCGAUGCAUAGCUUAGAGAUAAGUGAAGUCCUUCGGGACAUCGAGACAGGUGGUGCAUGGUUGUCGUCAGCUCGUGUCGUGAGAUGUUGGGUUAAGUCCCGCAACGAGCGCAACCCUUAUUGCCAGUUACUACGCAAGAGGACUCUGGCGAGACUGCCGUUGACAAAACGGAGGAAGGUGGGGAUGACGUCAAAUCAUCAUGCCCUUUAUGACCUGGGCUACACACGUACUACAAUGGCGUUUAACAAAGAGAAGCAAGACCGCGAGGUGGAGCAAAACUCAAAAACAACGUCUCAGUUCAGAUUGCAGGCUGCAACUCGCCUGCAUGAAGUCGGAAUUGCUAGUAAUCGCGGAUCAGCAUGCCGCGGUGAAUACGUUCCCG